AGCGUACACGGUGGAUGCCCUGGCAGUCAGAGGCGAUGAAGGACGUGCUAAUCUGCGAAAAGCGCCGGCGAGGUGAUAUGAACCCUUGACCCGGCGAUGUCCGAAUGGGGAAACCCAGUGCAAUCCGUUGCACUAUCGUUAACUGAAUACAUAGGUUAACGAGGCGAACCGGGGGAACUGAAACAUCUAAGUACCCCGAGGAAAAGAAAUCAACCGAGAUUCCCCCAGUAGCGGCGAGCGAACGGGGAGCAGCCCGGAGUCUGAAUCAGCUUGUGUGUUAGUGGAACGGUCUGGAAAGUCCGACGGUACAGGGUGAUAGUCCCGUACACGAAAGCACACUUGCUGUGAACUCGAAGAGUAGGGCGGGACACGUGGUAUCCUGUCUGAAUAUGGGGGGACCAUCCUCCAAGGCUAAAUACUCCUGACUGACCGAUAGUGAACCAGUACCGUGAGGGAAAGGCGAAAAGAACCCCGGCGAGGGGAGUGAAAAAGAACCUGAAACCGUGUACGUACAAGCAGUGGGAGCCUCUUUAUGGGGUGACUGCGUACCUUUUGUAUAAUGGGUCAGCGACUUAUAUUCUGUAGCAAGGUUAACCGUAUAGGGGAGCCGAAGGGAAACCGAGUCUUAACUGGGCGUUAAGUUGCAGGGUAUAGACCCGAAACCCGGUGAUCUAGCCAUGGGCAGGUUGAAGGUUGGGUAACACUAACUGGAGGACCGAACCGACUAAUGUUGAAAAAUUAGCGGAUGACCUGUGGCUGGGGGUGAAAGGCCAAUCAAACCGGGAGAUAGCUGGUUCUCCCCGAAAGCUAUUUAGGUAGCGCCUCGUGAACUCAUCUUCGGGGGUAGAGCACUGUUUCGGCUAGGGGGCCAUCCCGGCUUACCAACCCGAUGCAAACUACGAAUACCGAAGAAUGUUAUCACGGGAGACACACGGCGGGUGCUAACGUCCGUCGUGAAGAGGGAAACAACCCAGACCGCCAGCUAAGGUCCCAAAGUCAUGGUUAAGUGGGAAACGAUGUGGGAAGGCACAGACAGCCAGGAUGUUGGCUUAGAAGCAGCCAUCAUUUAAAGAAAGCGUAAUAGCUCACUGGUCGAGUCGGCCUGCGCGGAAGAUGUAACGGGGCUAAACCAUGCACCGAAGCUGCGGCAGCGACGCUUAUGCGUUGUUGGGUAGGGGAGCGUUCUGUAAGCCGUUGAAGGUGUGCUGUGAGGCAUGCUGGAGGUAUCAGAAGUGCGAAUGCUGACAUAAGUAACGAUAAAGCGGGUGAAAAGCCCGCUCGCCGGAAGACCAAGGGUUCCUGUCCAACGUUAAUCGGGGCAGGGUGAGUCGACCCCUAAGGCGAGGCCGAAAGGCGUAGUCGAUGGGAAACAGGUUAAUAUUCCUGUACUUGGUGUUACUGCGAAGGGGGGACGGAGAAGGCUAUGUCAGCCGGGCGACGGUUGUCCCGGUUUAAGCAUGUAGGCGGAGGUUCCAGGUAAAUCCGGUACCUUAUUAACGCUGAGGUGUGAUGACGAGGCACUACGGUGCUGAAGUGAUAAAUGCCCUGCUUCCAGGAAAAGCCUCUAAGCAUCAGGUAACACGAAAUCGUACCCCAAACCGACACAGGUGGUCAGGUAGAGAAUACCAAGGCGCUUGAGAGAACUCGGGUGAAGGAACUAGGCAAAAUGGUGCCGUAACUUCGGGAGAAGGCACGCUGAUGUGUAGGUGAAGCCCCUGCGGGCGGAGCUGAAAUCAGUCGAAGAUACCAGCUGGCUGCAACUGUUUAUUAAAAACACAGCACUGUGCAAACACGAAAGUGGACGUAUACGGUGUGACGCCUGCCCGGUGCCGGAAGGUUAAUUGAUGGGGUUAGCGGCAACGCGAAGCUCUUGAUCGAAGCCCCGGUAAACGGCGGCCGUAACUAUAACGGUCCUAAGGUAGCGAAAUUCCUUGUCGGGUAAGUUCCGACCUGCACGAAUGGCGUAAUGAUGGCCAGGCUGUCUCCACCCGAGACUCAGUGAAAUUGAACUCGCUGUGAAGAUGCAGUGUACCCGCGGCAAGACGGAAAGACCCCGUGAACCUUUACUAUAGCUUGACACUGAACACUGGUCCUUGAUGUGUAGGAUAGGUGGGAGGCUUUGAAGCGUGGACGCCAGUCUGCGUGGAGCCAACCUUGAAAUACCACCCUUUAAUGGCUGGUGUUCUAACGUAGACCCGUAAUCCGGGUUGCGGACAGUGUCUGGUGGGUAGUUUGACUGGGGCGGUCUCCUCCCAAAGAGUAACGGAGGAGCACGAAGGUUGGCUAAUCCUGGUCGGACAUCAGGAGGUUAGUGCAAUGGCAUAAGCCAGCUUGACUGCGAGCGUGACGGCGCGAGCAGGUGCGAAAGCAGGUCAUAGUGAUCCGGUGGUUCUGAAUGGAAGGGCCAUCGCUCAACGGAUAAAAGGUACUCCGGGGAUAACAGGCUGAUACCGCCCAAGAGUUCAUAUCGACGGCGGUGUUUGGCACCUCGAUGUCGGCUCAUCACAUCCUGGGGCUGAAGUAGGUCCCAAGGGUAUGGCUGUUCGCCAUUUAAAGUGGUACGCGAGCUGGGUUUAGAACGUCGUGAGACAGUUCGGUCCCUAUCUGCCGUGGGCGCUGGAGAAUUGAGGGGGGCUGCUCCUAGUACGAGAGGACCGGAGUGGACGCAUCACUGGUGUUCGGGUUGUCAUGCCAAUGGCACUGCCCGGUAGCUAAAUGCGGAAGAGAUAAGUGCUGAAAGCAUCUAAGCACGAAACUUGCCCCGAGAUGAGUUCU
rnacentral:rRNA from 1 species